UACAGAGGUCUCAAGCGUUGUUCGGAUUCAUUGGGCGUAAAGGGUGCGUAGGCGGCGCGGUAAGUCGGGUGUGAAAUCUUGGAGCUUAACUCCGAAACUGCAUUCGAUACUGCCGUGCUUGAGGACUGGAGAGGAGACUGGAAUUUACGGUGUAGCGGUGAAAUGCGUAGAUAUCGUAAGGAAGACCAGUGGCGAAGGCGGCUCUCGUGGGACGGUACUGACGCUGAGACGCGAAAGCGUGGGGAGCGAACAGG
rnacentral:rRNA from 1 species